UCUUGCAUGCUCCUCAAAGACUGACCCUUCACUGUGAUUUUUCUUAUAAUUUCUUGGCAUGCAAAGCAAGCUGCUUUAAAGGGUCCUUUAAUUUAUACUGAUGUGCCGACGUGAGUUAAGUUAAUUGGUUGGUAUGUGGUCGGCUUGUUUAUUCAAAUUCGCUUUCAUGCAAAUUAGAGUAUUCUAGAAUAUCGUAAUUUCAGAAGAAAGACGAGUUUUUUACCUAUAAGUCCUACGUAAUAUUAAACUUUAGAAGAAAAACACUUCAAACAGUUUGAAUAUUUCAGAAGAAAAAUUUAAUAUGAGAAACGGAUCAAUGAGGUGUUUUUCGAUGCGGUUGAACUCUUGAAGUGUUUUUGUAGUUUGUACGUAAUGAAGCAUGUUAUGAUCAUCUUGUGUUAUUUUCUGGGAAUUUGAAACAAGUAAUUUAGUUUGGCAUCAUGUCAUAUUUGUGUAACAUUUUGGUCAAAGUUUUUAUGAUAUUCCGAAUUUGGAAUGUACAUGUAUGCAAAUGGAUGUCACAGGUUUACUUACAUGGAGGGUUGCAUGCCAGUUCCCAAUUCCUGAAGGAUUUUGAGGCCAGGUGCAUUGCGGAAUGCAGGGGCUCCCUAGGCUUGUCAAAUGCAAUGCAUUUUCAAAGAGGUUCCUUUAAAGCACAUGCUACAAAGUCUUUGUAUCCGAACUUCGUGAAAAGCGCAGAACAAUCCGUCUCCGUGGAUUUUGUUUACAGGAGUUCCUGCUCAAAUGAAUCAGACCAUCUUAAGUGCCAGUAUUCAGACAUGUGGAGUUCCUCUACUAGAACCAUGUAUGAACAACACCUGCCGGGAAGGGUGGAACUGAAAUUUGUAGACACCUCUAGCCUAUUGGCUCCUGAUGAGGGACUCGUUGACUUUACUAAUCCGUCGACUGAAAAUGAAAGUAUCUUAUCGGCACCCAUAGAACCUGAAAGCAUAUCAGCAACUGAUUUAACACCAGGGAAUCCCACCUCUGUAUCCGACUCCUUAGACAUGGAUAGUGAUAAAUUAUCCAGUGUGAAAACUAGUAUUGAGGACUUCUUUGAUGGGGUUAGCAAGUCUUUCAGUGCUUCGCUUGAUAAGGGAGAAUAUACUGUUAAAACGUCACUAGAUACAAUCACUUCAUCAACAACAACUGUUGUUAAAAGUGCAACUGAAGCAGUGGAUAAUACUGUUGGCGGAUUGUUUUCAACGGUGGAUCAAGUGGGACAAUAUGGUGGUAGUAAAACGACAAAUUUUUCAAGCGACUUUAAGGAAGCCACAAGUAAAGGAGCUGUUUUUGCUAUUGAUGUCUUGAGACGUUCAAUUGUUGUGGUGGAGGAUUCUCUAUCAAAUGGGGCUUCCUUUUCUGUUAGUUCUUACCAGUCUGCCAAGGACUUUCUUCCUCCUGACAUCAGUGAUGCGCUAAAUUUGUCUGAAAAGAGAUUUGUAGAGCUCUUGGGGCCUGCCAAAACUGCUUUUCAACAGGUUUAUAUUUCGAUUGAGGGGUUGGAGGAAAAUCUUGGGUUGGACCCUAAUGAUCCAAUCGUUCCAUUUGUUCUAUUUCUUGGCACCUCAGCCAUUUUAUGGGUCAUUUAUCGGGUGUGGAUAUACAGUGGUUACGCUGGAGAUUUAUCUCCUCAGUCGACAUUGGAGCUCUUGACAGGGAAAGAGAAUGCUGUGCUCAUUGAUGUCCGACCUGAGGUUCUGAGAGAAAGAGGGGGUAUUCCUGAUCUUCGACGAGCAGCUCGCUUUCGCUAUGCAAGUGUGGCUCUACCUGAGGCUGAUGGCGCUGUAUGGAAAUUAGUGAAGAGUGGAAGGGAUCUUAAUGACACCUUAACUGCUGCUGUUAUUUGGAACUUGAAGAUUGUUCAGGGCAGGUCCAAGGUCAUAGUUAUGGAUGUUGAUGGCACUCUUUCCAAAGGUAUUGAAAGAUCCUUGAGAAAGCUUGGGCUCAAGAAACCGUACUUGGUUCAAGGUGGCUUUCAAUCUUGGGUGAAAUAUGGUCUCCGUAUUAAGGAACUCAAACCUGAGACAACAUUUACCAUACUCAAUGAGUGGCUGAGGUUCUCUUGUAUAUGUAACGUGGAGUUGGGGACCCAUUUUUUUUAGCUUUGUUGAAAAAGAGGUGAACGAGAUAAAUAUGUUUGACAACCAGAGCAAUAAUCAUGACUGCAUUCAACACAGAGAUUAUUGCUGUUUUCCCCCUUUCUGCCGCAUUUUUACAGAAUUGUAAGACCAGAUUUGAGCUUUUCACUUAUGCACAAUUGCAAAAAAUUGUAUCAUUUUAGGAUGCUGAGGCAAUUCUGGAGGAUAUCAGUCCUUCUCCGGUGCAAGUUCUUGGGUCUGGUGUGGGAUUGAUUGCAGCAUUGUAUGCACUACUAGUUAAAUUUUGCUAGUGAAUUGUGCCGGAUUUCUUCAUCUCUAAUCAGCAUGAUUCAUUGGAUACGGAGUGGGAGAAGACGUUACAACUGAUUGGUGUUGUUGGCGUUGGUCAGACCAUUUAUCGGUGGGUGGCAUCUUAUGACACCGCAGAAGAUUUUAAACAAGACGUGAGGCUGCUGCUUGCUCCUGUUAGACUGGGCGCUCAGGCAUUUUCAUGGACUGCUGGAAAAUUGGAAUCGAACGGCAUUGGACUGCCAACAUCUCCUUCAUCCUCAGAUGUUUAAAACCGAGUAUUGCAGGCUGCUGCAAAGCAUCAAUCUCAACCGUCUGAUACGGAAGGCAUCCAAGAUCCAUCUCCUGACUCAACACUUACAAUCAAGGAGAAUGUCGAUCUAUCAGAAGCAUAAAGGUUGAUAUUUUCUUGCAGUAGGCAUCUCCUGACUCGUGUUCUAGCUCGAAAGUUGAUCUGAGCUGUAUUAGCAAAUCAAGGAAGGUUAAUGAAGCUAAAUAAGUGAUAAUUCUGUAACAAUGUGCACUCAAGUUGGCUCUCUCAAGUUUCCUCCUUAUACAAGCCAACUCUCCACCCCUUAUUUUAAUAUACAAACAACGUGAUUUUAAGCUCAA